CCUACGGGUGGCUGCAGUGGGGAAUAUUGCACAAUGGGCGCAAGCCUGAUGCAGCCAUGCCGCGUGUGUGAAGAAGGCCUUCGGGUUGUAAAGCACUUUCAGCGGGGAGGAAGGCGGUGAGGUUAAUAACCUCAUCGAUUGACGUUACCCGCAGAAGAAGCACCGGCUAACUCCGUGCCAGCAGCCGCGGGAAUACGGAGGGUGCAAGCGUUAAUCGGAAUUACUGGGCGUAAAGCGCACGCAGGCGGUCUGUCAAGUCGGAUGUGAAAUCCCCGGGCUCAACCUGGGAACUGCAUUCGAAACUGGCAGGCUAGAGUCUUGUAGAGGGGGGUAGAAUUCCAGGUGUAGCGGUGAAAUGCGUAGAGAUCUGGAGGAAUACCGGUGGCGAAGGCGGCCCCCUGGACAAAGACUGACGCUCAGGUGCGAAAGCGUGGGGAGCAAACAGGAUUAGAUACCCGGGUAGUC
rnacentral:rRNA from 1 species